rnacentral:ncRNA from 1 species
GGUUAGUGCUGUGAAUAAGGCAGUAAGCGUGGCUGGGCUUAAAUGCACAUGUUACGCCGAUGAGUCGUCAUUGACCUAGUGUGACUCUGCCGAUAUAGAUUAGGCGCACUAACC